CCAAAGGCGAUGAAGGGGACGAGUACCUGAAAUCGAGCGGCCAGAGAGGGAAACCAAAAGCUGAGAGGUUUCCUCCGCAACGAGCAGGGAAAACCACCCUGGAGCUGGGUCCGAAGCCCACCUAAAGGGAUAAGGAUACCGGGGUUCGCCCCUUACAGCGAGAAAGAGAGCCGGUCCUACUUUUGGGGCCGGAACUGGAGUGGAACCGCGGAAGUCUUUUCCGUCUCCUAG
rnacentral:ncRNA from 1 species